AGAGUUUGAUCCUGGCUCAGAAUCAACGCUGGCGGCGUGCCUAACACAUGCAAGUCGCACGAGAAAGGGUAGCAUACCUGAGUAAAGUGGCGCACGGGUGAGUAACACGUGAAUUAUCUACCUCCGAGUGGGGAAUAACCUAGAGAAAUCUGGGCUAAUACCGCAUAACACUUACGAGUCAAAGCAGCAAUGCGCUUGGAGAGGAGUUCGCGGCAGAUUAGUUAGUUGGCGGGGUAAUGGCCCACCAAGACGAUGAUCUGUAUCCGGCCUGAGAGGGCGCACGGACACACUGGAACUGAAACACGGUCCAGACUCCUACGGGAGGCAGCAGUUGGGAAUCUUGGACAAUGGGGGAAACCCUGAUCCAGCCAUGCCGCGUGAGUGAUGAAGGCCUUCGGGUUGUAAAACUCUUUCGCGCACGACGAUAAUGACGGUAGUGCGAGAAGAGC
rnacentral:rRNA from 1 species